UAGCAGUGAAAUGCGUAGAGAUGUGGAGGAACACCGAUGGCGAAGGCAGCCCCCUGGGUCGACACUGACGCUCAUGCACGAAAGCGUGGGUAGCAAACAGGAUUAGAUACCCUGGUAGUCCACGCCCUAAACGAUGCCAACUAGGUGUUGGGGAAGGAGACUUCCUUAGUACCGUAGCUAACGCGUGAAGUUGGCCGCCUGGGGAGUACGGUCGCAAGAUUAAAACUCAAAGGAAUUGACGGGGACCCGCACAAGCGGUGGAUGAUGUGGAUUAAUUCGAUGCAACGCGAAAAACCUUACCUACCCUUGACAUGCCAGGAAUCCUGCUGAGAGGUGGGAGUGCCCGAAAGGGAGCCUGGACACAGGUGCUGCAUGGCUGUCGUCAGCUCGUGUCGUGAGAUGUUGGGUUAAGUCCCGCAACGAGCGCAACCCUUGUCAUUAGUUGCCAUCAGUUAGGUGGGCACUCUAAUGAGACUGCCGGUGACAAACCGGAGGAAGGUGGGGAUGACGUCAAGUCCUCAUGGCCCUUAUGGGUAGGGCUUCACACGUCAUACAAUGGUCGGUACAGAGGGUUGCCAAGCCGCGAGGUGGAGCCAAUCCCAGAAAGCCGAUCGUAGUCCGGAUUGCAGUCUGCAACUCGACUGCAUGAAGUCGGAAUCGCUAGUAAUCGUGGAUCAGCAUGUCACGGUGAAUACGUUCCCGGGUCUUGUACACACCGCCCGUCACACCAUGGGAGUGGGUUUCACCAGAAGUAGGUAGCCUAACCGCAAGGAGGGCGCUUACCACGGUGGGAUUCAUGACUGGGGUG
rnacentral:rRNA from 1 species